CGAAAGCCUGACGGAGCAAUACCGCGUGAGGGAGGAAGGCCCUUGGGUUGUAAACCUCUUUUCUCAGGGAAGAAGAAUGACGGUACCUGAGGAAUCAGCAUCGGCUAACUCCGUGCCAGCAGCCGCGGUAAUACGGAGGAUGCAAGCGUUAUCCGGAAUGAUUGGGCGUAAAGCGUCCGCAGGUGGCGAUUCAAGUCUGCUGUCAAAGGUCCUGGCUCAACUGGGAACAGGCAGUGGAAACUGAAUAGCUAGAGUGCGGUAGGGGUAGAGGGAAUUCCCGGUGUAGCGGUGAAAUGCGUAGAGAUCGGGAAGAACACCAGUGGCGAAAGCGCUCUACUAAGCCUGCACUGACACUCAGGGACGAAAGCUAGGGGAGCGAAUGGGAUUAGAUACCCCAGUAGUCCUAGCCGUAAACGAUGGAUACUAGGCGUGGCUUGUAUCGACCCGAGCCGUGCCGGAGCUAACGCGUUAAGUAUCCCGCCUGGGGAGUACGCGCGCAAGCGUGAAACUCAAAGGAAUUGACGGGGGCCCGCACAAGCGGUGGAGUAUGUGGUUUAAUUCGAUGCAACGCGAAGAACCUUACCAGGGCUUGACAUGUCCGGAACCUCGGGGUAACUUGAGGGUGCCUACGGGAGCCGGAACACAGGUGGUGCAUGGCUGUCGUCAGCUCGUGUCGUGAGAUGUUGGGUUAAGUCCCGCAACGAGCGCAACCCUCGUGCUUAGUUGCCAGCGGGUAAAGCCGGGCACUCUAAGGAGACUGCCGGUGACAAACCGGAGGAAGGUGGGGAUGACGUCAAGUCAGCAUGCCCCUUACGUCCUGGGCUACACACGUACUACAAUGCUGCGGACAAAGGGCAGCAAGCCAGCGAUGGCAAGCCAAUCCCAUAAACCGUGGCUCAGUUCAGAUUGUAGGCUGCAACUCGCCUACAUGAAGGCGGAAUCGCUAGUAAUCGCCGGUCAGCCAUACGGCGGUGAAUACGUUCCCGGGCCUUGUACACACCGCCCGUCACACCAUGGAAGCUGGCUAUGCCCGAAGUCGUUACCCUAACCUGCAAGGGAGGGGGAUGCCGAAGGCAGAGCUGGUGACUGGGGUGAAGUCGUAACAAGGUAGCCGUACCGGAAGGUGUGGCUGGAUCACCUCCUUUCUAGGGAGACCCACAGAAUAAGUCGUUAAGUCGUAAGUCGUAAUUGCGAGUUAUUCUGUAAUCCCAAGGUCGGUCGAAGACAAUAGCAGAGUGUGAGGCUUUCAAACUAUAAAGUGGUUUGGUAAGAAGGCAUAGGGGCUAUUAGCUCAGGUGGUUAGAGCGCACCCCUGAUAAGGGUGAGGUCCCUGGUUCAAGUCCAGGAUGGCCCACCUCAAAAUGAUUAGUAAUUCGUAAUUCAUAAUUCGUAAUUAAAGAACCUAAUUACGGGCUACGAGUUAGUAAUUAUGAAUUAUCUUGCGGGGGUAUAGCUCAGUUGGUAGAGCGCUGCCUUUGCAAGGCAGAAGCCAGCGGUUCGAGUCCGCUUACCUCCACCUGGCAGCUAAAAAAUUUUCUAGUCUUGGAAAAACAAUAAGAGUGGCAUAUUGGUACAACAAACUGCCUUAAUUUUGUUAGACUAGACUAGUUAUGGAAAUAGCUUCAGCACCAAGACGCAAGAGAUAGCGUCAGGCUGCUGGAGAUGAUACCAGCCAGCACCUUGAAAACUGCAUAGUAACGCGAAAUUGUAGGCAGUCAGUAGUCAGUAGUUAGUAGUCGGGAGAAACAACUGGCAACUAACAACUAACAACUGACAAAAUACAGACACCAAUGUGGUCAAGCUAAAUCGAGCUGAUGGUGGAUACCUAGGCACACAGAGGCGAAGAAGGACGUGGCGACCGACGAAACACUCCGAGGAGCUGGAAGCAAGCAUUGAGUCGGAGGUCUCCGAAUGGGGCAACCCCAAGUACAGUUUGCUGAAUCCAUAGGCAGACAUGAGCCAACCCAGCAAAUUGAAACAUCUUAGUAGCUGGUGGAAAAGAAAGAAAACUCGAUUCCCCAAGUAGUGGUGAGCGAAAGGGGAAUAGCCUAAACCAGUUGAUUGCUCAACUGGGGUAGUGGGACAGCGGUGUGGAAUCUGGAAGUUAGACAAAGCAGCUAAAUACUGCACCAGAGAAGGUGAAAGUCCUGUAGUCGAAAACCGCCCAGAUACUAGCUGGAUCCCGAGUAGCACGGGACACGAGAAAUCCGGUGUGAAUCAGCGAGGACCACCUCGUAAGGCUAAAUACUACUGUGUGACCGAUAGUGAACCAGUACCGCGAGGGAAAGGUGAAAAGAACCCCGGAAGGGGAGUGAAAUAGAACAUGAAACCAUCAGCUUUCAAGCAAUGGGAGGACGAUUCAACGUCUGACCGUGUGCCUGUUGAAGAAUGAGCCGGCGACUUAUAAGCACUGGUAGGUUAAGGUCAAUAGCCGUAGCCACAGCGAAAGCGAGUCUGACAAGGGCGAAUUAAUCAGUGUUUAUAGACCCGAACCCGGGUGAUCUAACCAUGUCCAGGAUGAAGCUUGGGUAACACCAAGUGGAGGUCCGCACCGACCGAUGUUGAAAAAUCGGCGGAUGAGGUGUGGUUAGGGGUGAAAUGCCAAUCGAACCCGGAGCUAGCUGGUUCUCCCCGAAAUGUGUUGAGGCGCAGCGGUGAUGAUUAUAACUGGGGGGUAAAGCACUGUUUCGGUGCGGGCUGCUAGCGCGGUACCAAAUCGAGACAAACUCUGAAUACCCAGCGCACACAUCACCAGUGAGACGGUGGGGGAUAAGCUUCAUCGUCGAGAGGGAAACAGCCCAGACCACCAGCUAAGGUCCCAAAAUUGGCGCUAAGUGAUUAAGGAGGUGGGAGUGCAAAGACAACCAGGAGGUUUGCCUAGAAGCAGCCAACCUUAAAAGAGUGCGUAAUAGCUCACUGGUCAAGCGCUCCUGCGCCGAAAAUGAAUGGGGCUAAGCGCCAUACCGAAGCUAUGGGAUACAUUUGUAUCGGUAGGGGAGCGUUCCGCUGUUAGGGUGAAGCACUAGCGGUAAGCAGGUGUGGACGAAGCGGAAGUGAGAAUGUCGGCUUGAGUAGCGAAAACAUUGGUGAGAAUCCAAUGCCCCGAAACCCUCAGGGUUCCUCCGGCAGGUUCGUCCACGGAGGGUUAGUCAGGACCUAAGGCGAGGCCGAACGGCGUAGUCGAUGGACAACGGGUGAACAAUCCCGUACUGAAGUUAGUUGGUGCAGAGGGACGGAGAAGGCAAAGCCAGCCGGAAGUUGGUUACCGGUUUAACUGUUCAAGGCUGUGAGAGGUGGCGAAAACGCCUCGAGCUAAGGCAGGAGUACGAGGCGCUACGGUGCCGAAGUGGUGUAGUCCGGCUCCCAAGAAAAGCUCUAAACACCAUAAAUUAACUUUACCUGUACCCGAAACCGACACAGGUAGGGAGGUUGAGAAUACCAAGGGGCGCGAGAUAACUCUCUCUAAGGAACUCGGCAAAAUGGCCCCGUAACUUCGGAAGAAGGGGUACCCACUUAAAACGUGGGUCGCAGUGAAGAGAUCCAGGCGACUGUUUACCAAAAACACAGGUCUCCGCUAAGUCGAGUGACGACGUAUGGGGGCUGACGCCUGCCCAGUGCCGGAAGGUUAAGGAAGUCGGUCAGGGGGAAACCCUAAAGCUGGCGACCGAAGCCCCGGUGAACGGCGGCCGUAACUAUAACGGUCCUAAGGUAGCGAAAUUCCUUGUCGGGUAAGUUCCGACCCGCACGAAAGGCGUAACGAUCUGGAUGGUGUCUCAGAGAGAGGCUCGGCGAAAUAGGAAUGUCUGUGAAGAUACGGACUGCCUGCACCUGGACAGAAAGACCCUAUGAAGCUUUACUGUAGCCUGGAAUGGUGUCCGGGCUUCGCUUGCGCAGGAUAGGUGGGAGGCGUAGAGGUUGCCCUUGUGGGGGCAACGGAGCCAACGGUGAGAUACCACUCUGGCGAAGCUAGGAUUCUAACUGGUAGCCGUUAGCCGGCACUAGAACAGUUUCAGGUGGGCAGUUUGACUGGGGCGGUCGCCUCCUAAAAGAUAACGGAGGCGCGCAAAGGUUCCCUCAGGCUGGUUGGAAAUCAGCCGCAGAGUGUAAAGGCACAAGGGAGCUUGACUGCAAGAGCAACAACUCAAGCAGGUAGGAAACUAGGCCUUAGUGAUCCGACGGCGCUGAGUGGAAGGGCCGUCGCUCAACGGAUAAAAGUUACUCUAGGGAUAACAGGCUGAUCUCCGCCAAGAGUUCACAUCGACGCG
rnacentral:sRNA from 1 species